rnacentral:tRNA from 1 species
GUUAUUUUGGCAGACUAGUGCAAUAGAUUUAGAAUCUUUAUAUGUAAGUGAUUUUACAGAUAAUA